GAUAUAAGCAGCAUGCUAACCAGCAUUCUUUGCGAAGUAACAUUGCCGUGUGACUUACCAAGCCUUGGAUUACUCCCUUUCUUGUAUGGACUAUUGUGUAUGGACUUUUGCCUGUUUAUCCUCUCAUUUACGAGUUUGGUUUACGUUUUGGUUUUGUCGUUGGUGUUAUUUGGUUUUCCAGUUUUUUGACUUCUGCACUGCUAAAGGUUUACAAGUUGUUCCUGCUGUCUUCUUCAAUAAAUCUGCAAAUGGAUUCUAUCCAACCUGCCUCUAACGAGUCAUCACAGGUGGAGAGGAGGAACCACCGUCCACCAUUAGAUUGUCAGUUAUGACACAAGAAGGCUGGACCUAAAAGGCGGCAUGAUGAUGAUGAUGAUUGGGCUGAGUCGUUGUCUUCUUCUUUCGGCUUUUUCCUUCAGGGGUUGCCACAGUGAAUUGUCUCUCUCCACCUAUCCCUAUCUUCUGCAUCCUCAACACUUACACCCACUACCUUCAUAUCCUCAUUUAUUACAUCCAUAUACCUCCUCUUUGGCCUUCCUCUUUGCCUCCUGCCUGGCAGCUCCAUGUCCAACAUUCUCCUACCGAUCUACUCACCUCUGAACAUGUCAAAAGGAUCUUAAUCUGGCCUCCCUAACUUUGUCCCCUGAACAUCCAACAUGAGCUGUCCCUCUCAUGUACUCGUUCCUAAUCCUGUCCAGCCGUGUCCCUCCCAAAGAGAACCUCAACAUCUUCAGCUCUGCUACCUCCAGCUCUGACUCCUGUCUCUUCCUCAGUGACACUGUCCUUUCUAAUCUUAUUUACAUUCUGUUCCACAGAGUUCACAACUUUUACUCUUUUGUCCCUCUCAUUUUCCUCAUUCAUCAGCUCUUCAAAGUACUCAUUCCAUCUCCUCUGUAUGCUCUCCUCACUUGUGAGCACCUUUCCAUCUCUAUCCUUAAUAACUCUUACCUGCUGCACAUCCUUCCCAUCUCAAUCCCUCUGCCUAGCUAACCUGUACAAGUCCUUCUCUCCAUCUCUAGUGUUUAACCUAGUGUAAAACUCGUCAUAUACCUUCUGCUUGGCCUUAGACACCUCCCUCUUCGCUCUGUACUGUAACUCCUUGUAUUCCUAUCUACUCUCUUCAGUCCUGUCCAUUUCCCACUUCUUCUUGGCUAACCUCUUCCUCUGAAUACUAUCCUGAACUUCCUCAUUCCACCACCAAGUCUCCUUAUCAUCUUUCCUCCUUCCAGAUGACACACCCAGCACUUUUCUUCCUGUCUCCCUGAUCACUUCUGCUGUAGUUUCCCAGUCAUCUGGCAGCACUACCUGACCACCCAGAACCUGCCUCAACUUCUGUCUAAAUUCCUCACAACAUUCCUCCUUUUUUAGCUUCCACCACUUGGUUUUCUUCUCUAUCUCUAUCUUUGACCUCUCCUUCUUACAGACCAUGAAAGUCAUCCUACACACCACCAUCCUAUGCUGUCUGGCUACACUCUCUCUCACUACCACUUUACUGUCACUAAUCUCUUUCAGAUUGCCUGUGUGCUCCUAACUCCACUCUUGUAAGUCACCUCCAUCUUCUGAAAAUAAGUGUUAACCACAGCCAUGUCCAUCCUCUUAGCAAAGUCCACUACUCUCUGUCCUUCAAGGGUCCUUUCCUUAACUCCAAACUUGCACAUCACCUCCUCAUCACCUGUGUUCCCCUCACCAACAUGUCCAUUAAAAUCUGCUCCUAUCACUACUCUCACACCCAUGGGAAUAGUCUCUAUUACCUCAUCUUAUUCACUCCAGAAUCUCUCUUUCUCCUCUAACUCACAACCUACCUGUGGGGCAUAACGACUAACAUUCAACAUCACCCCUUCAAUCUCUAACUUCAGACUCAUCACCCUGUCUGACACUCUCUUCAUCUCCAGAACAUUCCUCACAAACUCCUCCUUCAGGACCACACCUACCCCAUUUCUCUUACUAUCCACACCAUAAUAAAAGAGCUUGAAUCCUGCUCCUAUACUACGAGCCUUGCUACUCUUCCACCUGGUCUCCUGUACACACAGUAUAUCCACCUUCCUUCUCACCAUCAUAUCAGCCAGCUCUCUACCUUUCCCUGUCAUAGUACCAACAUUAGUAGAGUUCCUAUUCUCAGUCCUACACUCUUACCUUUCCUCUUCUCUCUCUGUCUGCACACUCUCCUCCCUCCUCUACUUCUUCGACCAACUGUAGCCCAGUUUCCACCUGCACCCUGUAGGUCAAUGGCGCCGAAUGACGGUCAUUGUUAACCCAGGCCUCAACCGAUUCGGUAUGAAAUUCAGAGUACUGACGAUUCGCAUUAUUAAAUUUGGCAAUGUUUUAUGCCGGAUGCCCUUCCUGAUGCAACCCUUUCUAUUUAUCCGGGUUUGAGACCGGCACAGAAGUCACUGGACUGUGACCCCCAUGGCUAGAUUUGAUUGGGAUGGAGAGGAGUGAAACGUCACUUCCACAAGAUCCCCUAUUAAGGGGCUAAAAAAGACAACUACAAGAUUAUGCAAAGAUAAUGUACGAAAAAUACAACUGAACAGGAGAGGUGUGCAGUUCUGCAAAGCAUGGCCAGGGUGGCAGCAAAAAAGACUGCCAGCUGUGCAUUGGGAAAGAGUCUCCAUUACUUGUGUGUGUGAGUGUGUGUGUGUGUGUGUGUGAGUAAAACCCUGAGAAGGACUGCUGUUAUGAAUUCUCCCACCUCGCACCAAGUGUUCCUGGGAUUAGCUUCACCAUGAUCAUGAUGUCAUAAAUCAGAUACUGAAAACACAUUCACCCAAUAUUUAGCAUUAGUGAGAUUGUAUCAUGAUAGCAUUAUGACAAAUUAUUAAAUCAGUUUUUAGAAUAAUUAUAUACAUUAAACCAAUACAUGCAAAACAACAGCUAGGCUAUAAGACUCUAUUCAAUAAAAUGAAAAGGCUUCAUUUUAAUGUCACACAUCCAAAGCAGAAAGGAAGACCUCACAACACCUCUCUAUAUCUAUUCAUUCUUAAUCAUUACAGUUUACUUUUAUUUUAAAUAGUCACUCUGAAGUAUGCUUUUCUUGCCAUUUGGAGGAUAUUGAUGUGUGUUGAAUGAAAAACUAAUCAUUCAUCUAAAUCGUCUCCUGUUGUGUUUUAAGAUGUGAGUCAUAGCUGGGCUGUAAUUGUCUCAUUUUUCAUGCAGACAAGCUCUGCCGUGGAUCCUCUAGACAUUUGAAUAAAACCCUGUCUAUGCCUGGUUCCUCUUUGAAAUGCCCGGAAAAUGUGUUCUUUUUAUCUAAUACGUGAGUUUUGAUAAUUACUUUAAACUCUGUACCAAAGGACAGAUAAAACAUGUUCGGAUUGAUUUUUCAUAGUCAAAUUGGUGUUCAGUUGCAAUCAGAUAUUAAAUGAUUCUAUACACUAAUGAUGUUCACAGCAGCAAAACUUUCAUUCAUUUAUUCAUCAGCAAUUUGAUCAAGUCUGAGGAAAGCCCCUCUCCCUCCCCAUCAUGACCAUGUUCUACAGAGGGACCAUCGAGAUUGUCCUGAGUAGCUACAUCACUGCCUGGUUUGGGCAUUCCACUUUCUUGGAUCACAAGACCCUGCAGCGGAUAGUGAGGACAGCUGAGAUCACCAUCGGAGUCUCUCUUCUCUCUGUCAUGGACAUCUAUAACACACCGAAUCCCCCCGCCACCCCCACCCCCCACACACACAUGCACCUCUUAAACACACUCUUAACCUUCAUUCAUUAUACCAAAGCAUUCAGGCCUCACAACCAGACUGUGUAACAGUUUCUUUCCUCAAGCCAUCAGACUCCUUGAAUGGCUGUGAGCAUCAAUGCGCAAAAUACUUGCCUUUUCUUCUCUUUUGGCACGUAGAGCCAUCCUAUUAAAAUGGAAGGAUCCACUCCCACCCACACAUAUUCAAUGGAUUAGAGAAAUUACGUCUUGUCUCUACCUUGAAAAGAUUAGGUACUCAUUAAGAGGAUCCGAAAAAAAAUUCUAUAAGAAGUGGUGCUCUUUCAUUGAUUAUGUUGACUGUUCUAGAUAAUUAUUAGAUAUUAGAUAUUAAUUAAUUAAUUAAUUAUCUUUUUUUUUUCUAAGAACGCCUGUAAUUCUUAUCAGAUUUCAUGGACAGCAUGAGCACUACUCUAGGGUUUUGUUGGUAAGGGCUGGGGGUUUGUUAUGUGUUUUGUAUAUGUAUAUUGAAAAUUAAAAAAAAAAUAUUAAAAUCAAGACUUCUUGUCACGGUGUGACCUCGUGACUAUAAGACUAUACACUCCCAUAUCAUAUACAUACAUGAUACAUGUCACACUACACGGUCUUAUGCCGGCACUGAUUACAUCAAAGUGGACUGUUGUAAUGUGCAUGUGGGUUAGUAUGAGUAUGAUUAUGAUUAAGUUGUGUAUGUGUACUUUGGUGUGUGAUAUUGUGUUAUAUUGUUAUCAUUUACAAUUUAUAAGCAUCCAUUUUUGGUGGCAUUUAUUGGUUAUUUGUAUGCGUCAUGUGUAUAUGUUAUGUUUAUUCUGGUCUGUGUUUGUUGAGCAUAGUAACUCUCUGACGUAUGGGAGAGUACGUCACAGGAAAGGGAGGCGCAUACCCUUUUUAAAAAUGGCCGCGGGAGUGGUAGGUGUAUGUAGAACGUGUUGGAACUGGCUUGUGUGUUUGCUUAAAAAUCUACGACUGACUUCAUGAUUGCAGUGGGCAGUUUUGUUUUGUUUUGUUUUCGGGUACAGUGUUUAUUUUCCAUCUUCCCUCAUGUUUGCUGUACAUUACCACUGCACUUGUAAAUAAAAUCACCUUCGCUGAAACGUCCG